GGCUCCACUCCCCGGAGGACACAGCUGUCUUCUGGAAAACACCUCAGGUGAUACCUUAUUGUUUAGGAGGACCUGCAAGCCUUGAAACGACUUUAAUGAGCUAAGGCAGGUGAAAUGGCUGUGACUAGAAUUUACCCACAUUUCACCUGGUCAUCUCUAAUUGCGGGACGUAAGGGAUAGAACGUUGUAGAGCUUCAGAACGAUGCUCCCUUCUUCCUCAGGCUUAGCCCGUUCUGCUGGAAGGCAGCCACAGAGUGCAGAGUGAAGAAGCAGUAACUGGUCAAGAGGAAAUGUCACUGAAAUGCGGAGAUCCCCAACAGUUUUUUUUUUUCCUUUGCUAAUACUCUAAGUAGAGUUUCCCCGCAAAGCUCCAAUAACACAGGCCGUCAGAGAGAGCAGUUCCCUUUAUAGGUUUUCCUUUUGCUUCGUUUCAACGUUGACCACAGGGGACAUUCCACAUGGCCCCUCCCUCAUGCGUGGUUGAAAAUAAUCCCGAUCCAGUCUCUGUCGGGGUCAGGCUGCUCCGGCGUCCUGUGCGGAGAACAGUUUGAGUGAAGCAUGCUUGUCCUUCCCUGGGUGCAUGUCCUUGGAGAU